rnacentral:lncRNA from 1 species
CUGCUUUCUGCAAACGCGUGCUGUCAUUGGCGUGGGCCUACUAGAUUCCUCUGUAACUCAAUACAACGCUGUCCUGCUUGCCUCCUCCGCAGCGUGUUACUUUGUGUCCGUACAUAAUUUGGUUUGUUUUAAACAAAGGGACUAAUAAUUAAAAAUAUUAACAAGCCACAGCUUCUCGAGUUCCCUCCCAUGACAAGCCCCACCUCCAUGUCCGAGGAGGCGAGGAAGAGCCAACCAGAACCUUUUGCUAUUUGCUUUCGUCGUCGGUCCUUUUUCUCGCUGUGCUGCUGCUUACUGUUUACACAGCUUUUGUAUUACGAUGGAGGAGAACGGCAGUUCGUGGCUACUGCUGCCGUCAGUGGCGGGAGCCGUGCUUUUUCUUUUCUAUGUAGUCUUUGUCAAGCGAAGCACCGGGGCUUCGUAUACUGCUUUCCAUCGCCGGGAGCGUGGCCAGAGUGGGAGAGCCGGGAAGCCCCCUGCAGAUGCGUGGAGUCCUAGGCUUUCUGGCUUCCUGUUUCAGGUUUGUGCACACUUGGUCAACACUGCUUUUGGACAAUUUAUUUUAGUGCCACUUCUAAUGAAGCUCAAUCAUUUUACUUUACUGCGCUACCUUGAUAUUCCUGAUGACCCAACUUUCAUGCCGGUGGUUGUUGAUGAAGAAGAAAGUGACUCUUCUGCAUCCAGAAAAAACUCAGAGAUUCUUGAAAAGCUGAUANAA